rnacentral:rRNA from 1 species
ACGUAGGGUGCAAGCGUUAUCCGGAAUUAUUGGGCGUAAAGAGCUCGUAGGCGGUUUGUCGCGUCUGUCGUGAAAGUCCAGGGCUCAACUCCGGAUCUGCGGUGGAAACGGGUAGACUAGAGUGAUGUAGGGGAGGAUGGAAUUCCUGGUGUAGCGGUGGAAUGCGCAGAUAUCAGGAGGAACACCGAUUGCGAAGGCAGGUCACUGGACAAUAACUGACGCUGAGGUGCGAAAGCGUGGGGAGCAAACAG